rnacentral:tRNA from 1 species
GCCUGAAUGGCUUAGUUAGUUAAAGUGUCAGACUCUUGAUUUCAGCUCAGGUCAUGAGAUCGAGCCCCAUGUCAGGCU